rnacentral:rRNA from 1 species
UACGAAGGGGGCUAGCGUUGCUCGGAAUCACUGGGCGUAAAGCGCACGUAGGCGGAUUGCUAAGUUAGGGGUGAAAUCCCAGAGCUCAACUCUGGAACUGCCUUUAAUACUGGGUAUCUCGAGUCCGGAAGAGGUGAGUGGAAUUCCGAGUGUAGAGGUGAAAUUCGUAGAUAUUCGGAGGAACACCAGUGGCGAAGGCGGCUCACUGGUCCGGUACUGACGCUGAGGUGCGAAAGCGUGGGGAGCAAACAGG